UACAUGUGGGGCAAGCGUUGUUCGGAAUUACUGGGCAUAAAGGGUGCGUAGGCGGCUUGUUAAGUCAGGGGUGAAAUCCCACGGCCCAACCGUGGAACUGCCUUUGAUACUGGCGAGCUUGAGUGCGUGAGGGGUAACCGGAACGAGUAGUGUAGCGGUGAAAUGCGUAGAUAUUCGCAAGAACACCAGUGGCGAAGGCGGCUCACUGGCCCGAUACUGACGCUGAGGCACGAAAGCGUGGGGAGCAAACAGG
rnacentral:rRNA from 1 species